CUUCCAGAAAGUUCGGGGGCGGUUGCGCGGCACCGCUGCUGGGCGGGCACGCGAGCCGCAGCCGGCCCGAGCGCGCCGACCGGUAGCCAGGUCGCAGAGCCCGGCGGGCGCGGGCGCUGCCUGCCUGCGCCGCGGCCGAGUGAGUGCGGGGCGUUCCCUACGCCCGCGCGGCGAUUCGCUGCCGGCGCCGGGCCGGGCUCCGGGUGAGGUCAGCAGGGAGGGCCCCGAGUGCCGGCACGCAGCCGAGAGCUGCCCGCCCUGCCCCCGCGCCCCAGCGGUGCCCCCAGGGGAGCCACGAGGUCGCGAGAAGCCUCUUCCUAAGGGGGACGCGGGGGGGGCUGCUACUGCGGAGCGCGUGGCCAUAGCAGGGACCGGACUUUGCCGCAGCGGCGCUGAGUGCCCCAGUGGGCCACAGACCCGAGGGCGCACCGGACCGCGCCGCCCGGCCGGACUCCAGAAACACAUCCUGGAGGCACCCAGCGCCAGCUUGGGGUGCACGUGCCGCGCGGAGCAGCCUGAAGCCUGUCGCCCUGCCACCGAAGGAGGAAGAGGCGGUCACCCCUACAUGCUAGCACAACAGCCGUUUACCUGCUAAGCAGUUGCUUUAUUACGUUUUCUACAUUGAACGUGGAUUUGUACUCAGAUUUAAGAAAAUAGAGCUCACAAAACGGAAGCUCCCUGGGACGGUUUGAGCGAUCCAUUUAUGGAGCGAGGAAAGAGCUGUGCCUCAUCCUGGAUGCUUCUGCAGAACCCGAGAGAGUGAAAGCAGCCCUUAGGCACGAUCUGCAUCUCCCAGGGCAGAGCACAGCCCCUAAGAGCUCCUGGAAGAGUGCCUAGCACGUAGUGGAUGCUCCAUAAAAAUGUCAUCAACAACUCAAUCUGGAGAGAUGCUCCUUGACUUAUGGGAUCACGUCCCAAAAACCCACAGUGAAUUGAAAAUAUCUUCAGUGAAAAUCCAUUCAACACAUCUAACCACCUGAUCACAGCCUCGCCUACGUCAGCGUUGGGACACUCACAUCCACCUGCAGUUGGUCAAAUCAUCCAUCACAAACUGUUUUAUAAUCUGUUGAAUCAUGCAAUUACUGAGUGACUGUAAUCUCCCCAAAUGCUGGCAACACAGUCCACUGUAGGGUACCUCAGGAUCAUCUUCCCUUGGGAUCUUGGCUGCCUGGGAGCUAUGGCUCACUGCCACCACCCAGCCUCACAACAGAGGAUGGUACCAUCUAUCGCCAGCCUGGGAAAGAAUCACAGUUCAAAAUAAAAAGUACGGUCAAGUGCAUACUGCUUUAACACCAUUGUAAAUUGAUAAAUCAUGUCAAAUCAUCCUCAGAGGUCAUCUGUAAAUUGUAAAUCUGUAAAUUGAUCUGUCCAUGGCAGAUAUAUCCAUGGUCAUUUUGAAAAAAGAAAAAAGCACAGCAGAGCACACCUGAAGCCCGGGACUCAGGAGGCUGAGAUAGGAGGAUCAAGUUCCAGGCCAGCUUAGGCAACUUAGUGAGGCCCUGUCUCACAACAAAUAAAAGGGGGUCUGGGGUGUAGCUCAGUGUACAGAAAAGGGGUCUGGGUUUACUCUCCAGUAUACAGAAAAAAAUACCUGUGAGCCAGGCAUGGUGGACACCUGUAGUCCCAGCUACUCAGGAGGCUGAUGCAGGAGAAUCUCAAGCCCAUGAGUUUGAGACCAGCCUGGACAACACAGCAAGAUCCCAUCUCAAAACAAUUAUAUAAAUAAAACUUAAUUUAAGUUUAAAAAAUACUUUAAAGGGGCUGGGGUUAUGGCUCAGCAGUAGAGUGUUUGCCUCGCAUGUGCAAGGCUCUGGGUUCAAUCCUCAGCACCGCAUAAAAAUAAAUAAAGAUUUUGAGUCCAACUACAACUAAAAAAUAAAUACUAAAAAAAAAAAAACGCUUUAAAUGUAUUUUUAAAAUAACAUUCCAAUUUUUAUGGAAUGAUACUUAUAAAAUUGCUGAUAGUGGAAAACUUUGGGAAAAAGGUUUUUACUUUCACUUUAUAUAUUUUUGUACCAUCAUCACCUGGUCAUUUAUUUUAGUAUUUUUUCAUGUCAAUGUUGAGUAUAGAAUAUGAAACAAUGGAAACUCAUGCACAGAUGGUGGGAAUAAAGUCAGUAUAUCCACAAUUUUAUUAAGCCACAAAGAAAAAUGAAAUUAUGACAUUUGCAGGAAAAUUGAUGGAACUAGAGACCAUCAUGUUAAGCAAAAUGAGUCAAACUCAGAAGGUUAAGGGUUGUAUGUUUUCUGUCAUAUGCAGAAGCUAGAAAGGAAAAAAGAAAAGCAGGGAGGAUCUCCUAAAAAUCACAGGGGAUCAGUAGAGAAAAGGGACCGGGGUGGGAGAUAGGGCAGGAGGGGAGUGUUGGGGCGUGAUAUAGCCAGUGUGUCGUUCUACCAUGUGUAUGGACAACUAUGUGACAACAAACCCCAUCAAUAUGUACAGCUACAAUGCAUCAAUAAAAACGUGGAGGGGAAAUCAAAGAGAUAAAAUGCAUAAGUUCAUAAUUCCGCAUGUUAAUUGACCAAUGCUUAAAAUAUGUACUUUUAUCUUGAACAUAAUAAAACAUCAUGAGGAGAUUCUCAAA